rnacentral:lncRNA from 1 species
GUUUACCAACUUCUAUGCUGUUUAGUUUCUAUAAGAGGGUAAAGGAUUUAAGUGGACCUUGUGCUGCAUCAAGUGCAAUAUGAAGUCGCUCUUCCCAGCUCAAACUGUAGUCUUGUCCUGUUUCAAAGUGCAACAAAUUGACACUCAUAAGUACCAUUGGGCAUGCUACAUAUAAAGGUAAUAUAUUGUACUCCCUCCGUUUUAGGUUAUAAGACGUUUUGACUUUGGUCAAAGUCAAACUACUUUAAGUCUGAUACUCCGAUCAAGUUUAUAGAAAAAAAGUAGUAACAUUUUCAACCCAAGACAAAUUUAUUAUGGAAAUAUAUUCAAUUAUUGAUUUGAUGAAACUAAUUUAGUAUUAUAAAUAUUACUAUAUUUAUCUAUAAACUUAGUCAAACUUGAAACAGUUUGACUUUGACCAAAGUCAAAACGUUUUAUAACCUGAAACGGAGGGAGUACGUACUAUCUUUAGAAUUUUGAGUCAUUUAGGGUGAACGACAUUAAUUUUACUGUACUGAAUGCAAACCUCCUCUUAAAACUUCUUGUAAGUUUCCUCUAGACAUGAAAUCGUACACAAGGGCAAGGCAUUUCUUGUUUAGGCAAUAUCCUAAAAAUGUGACGAGAUUCUUGUGAUGAACUUUUGACAAUGUUUGCACCUGAAACAUCAGCAGAUGUCAUACAAACAGGCUUUCAUUGAAAGCGAUAAAAAUAGUGUACAUCCAAAUAAUGUGUGGAACUAUGACUUCUAGAUAUAGCUAGCAUCUAGUAGCUUGAUUUUUAUUCAAGACCACAAAUAACAUCUUUACAUUCUAGGGGGAGUGUUCUGACUUAAGUAGUCUGAUAGUUCACCUCAGGGAGGAAGUCCUUUGAUAGGGCUCUAGAUGUCUCCCGAAGCACCUUGACUGCGACUUCCUCUCCAUUCCCCAAUAUGCCAUGAUAAACUGUACCAAAUCCUCCAUUUCCAAUGAUAGACUGGAAGUUGUUCGUUAUAGUCCUCAACUCUGUAUAUGUGAAUCUUCUGGUGUCGCUAUGCAGGGGAUUUUCCUCUUCAUACAUAUCAUAAUCAUCAUGUUCUUUUGGUUUUCCUGCAAAGUUGCACAAGAUUCAAUCUGCUUUUCUCUACAGUAUACACGCAAACAUCUGGAUUUAACCCACUGUUUUGUUUCACCUUUACAGCAGAGCAUCCAUAGAAAUAACAUAAGUGUAAUAGCUACAACAGGAACUAUCACUGCAAUGAGCAAUGUUGCUGUAUUCUUCUUCGCCUUAUCUGCUUGCAUGGCACAGUAGCUUUCACUUAUAUUUGAGCACAUGGGAUUUCCUUCUAAUCUAAUGACAGAAAUAAUCAAUUUAUAAGAUAAAGUGAAAUCUGCCAAAUAUAGUAGUAUAGCACAAUGCGAGAACAGCAACCAAACCUUAGUUCAAGCAAACCAGCUUUAUAUCUUUUGAAAAGAUAGUCAGGAACCGAUCCAAUGAGCUGGUUAUAUGAUAGAUUUCUACAGAUGAGAACACAAAAUUUGAAAUAAUUGAUCUAUAGGCUCAGGUUUAGCAUGGUUCUGAACUUCUAAUAAGCACAUACUUACAGAGAUUUCAGUGAGUUUACUUGAUUAUAUGGAAUAGUGCCUGACAAGUUGUUGUGUGAUAGAUCCCUGUAAUUUUGUAUAAAUAGCAAUUUCACCAUGUUUUGCAAAUUAAGUUUGUUUGUGAUUUUAAAAUUUGAAUUGCACUUACAAUAUUUCCAGCGACAUGUUUCUGAACGAUGGAUUUAUCCAACCACUCAGUCUGCUUGCAGAUAAAUUCCUGCAAAAUCAUCUCAGUUCCUGUUAGUAAAAAAACUUUUAUAUUCUCAAGACUGCAAAUAUCACUUCAUGUUUUAAAUUGUACAUGCAUGUGCCUUCUUCAUUAAAAAUCCAAACGAAUGGAGAAUAACCUUUUGGAUGCUGUCUCCAGCAAUUAAGUAAAUUGCUAUAUGUCUUCUUUAACAUUUUUUAACUGCAGGUUAUCCAAUACAAGCUAUCCAAAUUUCAAUGGUGCUGAACUGCUGCAUUUCGAAACAUGAAUUACAAGACUUGCUUAUUGAUAUUCUUACACUAGGAUGAUCCUGGGAUUCUGUUUGCCAUCAUAGUAGUUGCAUUUCACACCUUCCCAGGUAUACUCUUUUGGAGAACAUGGAUCUCCAUUCCAACUUCUUCGUUGCACAUUGUACUGCGUCUUUACUUGUUUCAUGGAACUGACUGCAUAACAACAAACAUAAUAGAUGAAGAAUAGGCGCGCAUCAGUACUCCAUAAUGAAGAUUUUUUUAAGGGAAAAAUAAUUUUCCAAUCCUAACUGUUUCAAGGAAAAACUUAACUUUCAAAUCCAGACUGACUGUUCGUUUUUCAACCAUUAUUUUUAACUCAGAAUCCAGUCCGAUUUUUUGUAUGUGUCAAUGGUUCUUUUGUGUGACGAUGACAGAACAUGUCAUUGCGUCACAGAUCAAUCAUGAAAAGCCUCUUUCUUGCCAGGUUCCACAUGUCAGUAUGUUACUGAGAGGAGAGCAUCUUCCUCCUAAUCCCCACAAACCCACCUAUUUUGGGUGAGCAUGUACUGGCUGAAAGUCCCAACUUUCGUUGGGCCGAAAUUCAACAAUACUCAAGUUCAGUCCAAAGGGAUAUGGGGCAGGAACAGGCCUGUGCAAUAUGCUACAAAUAGCUCUAUGGAAUUAAACUGGGCCAGCAGGUUACUGCACAAGCACGCCCGAUUGCUGAAUUAUUUUUAUUUAUUUAUUUAUUUAGGGGGGGGGUGUUGGAGAUCAUGUGGGAAAAAAAACAAGGGUGAAGAAUAAAAACAUAAAUUUUCAUUUCCACAUACUCCAUUUUUUAGGAAACGAACUAUGAAUAUAUGGCCCAUCUGUAUACACCUGAAUACUACUAAUAGCAUAAUGUUGUAAAUGAUAUAAUGGAAUACAAAUACUCUUAUCUUAACUGUAUUGCUAAGCAAGAACUGAAAACCAUGAUGUAACGCAGGUUUACCAUCGAUGGUGUCAGUGGUGAGGUUUUCCAUCCGAACAAGCGAGUAAGCCUCAAAGGCGUUGAUGAGUGGUGGGAGCUCCGAGCUGUUUGUCUUGCACAGGGUGAAAGUUGUACCUGACUCAUGUAGGUACCGGUCCCUCAGG